rnacentral:rRNA from 1 species
AACGAACGCUGGCGGCAUGCCUAACACAUGCAAGUCGAACGAGACCUUCGGGUCUAGUGGCGCACGGGUGCGUAACGCGUGGGAACCUGCCCUUAGGUUCGGAAUAACUCCCCGAAAGGGGUGCUAAUACCGGAUAAUGUCUUCGGACCAAAGAUUUAUCGCCUUUGGAUGGGCCCGCGUUGGAUUAGCUAGUUGGUAGGGUAAAAGCCUACCAAGGCGACGAUCCAUAGCUGGUCUGAGAGGAUGAUCAGCCACACUGGGACUGAGACACGGCCCAGACUCCUACGGGAGGCAGCAGUGGGGAAUAUUGGACAAUGGGCGAGAGCCUGAUCCAGCAAUGCCGCGUGAGUGAUGAAGGCGUUAGGGUUGUAAAGCUCUUUUACCCGGGAUGAUAAUGACAGUACCGGGAGAAUAAGCUCCGGCUAACUCCG